rnacentral:rRNA from 2 species
UAUGCUUAGCCUUAAACCUAAAUAAUUUUAUAACAAAAUUAUUCGCCAGAGAACUACAAGCCAGAGCUUAAAACUCAAAGGACUUGGCGGUGCUUUAUACCCGCCUAGAGGAGCCUGUUCUAUAAUCGAUAAACCCCGAUAAACCUUACCACUCUUUGCCAACUCAGCCUAUAUACCGCCAUCUUCAGCAAACCCUAAAAAGGGACAAAAGUAAGCUCAAUCAUCACCAUAAAAACGUUAGGUCAAGGUGUAGCCUAUAGAGUGGAAAGCAAUGGGCUACAUUUUCUACUUUAGAACACACGAAAGCCCCUAUGAAACUCUAGAGACCAAAGGAGGAUUUAGCAGUAAAUUAAGAAUAGAGUGCUUAAUUGAACAAGGCCAUGAAGCACGC